AUGAACGCUGGCGGCGUGCCUAAUACAUGCAAGUCGAGCGAACGGACGAGAGGCUUGCUUCUCUGAUGUUAGCGGCGGACGGGUGAGUAACACGUGGAUAACCUACCUAUAAGACUGGGAUAACUUCGGGAAACCGGAGCUAAUACCGGAUGAUAUUUUGAACCGCAUGGUUCAAAAGUGAAAGACGGUCUUGCUGUCACUUAUAGAUGGAUCCGCGCUGCAUUAGCUAGUUGGUAAGGUAACGGCUUACCAAGGCAACGAUGCAUAGCCGACCUGAGAGGGUGAUCGGCCACACUGGAACUGAGACACGGUCCAGACUCCUACGGGAGGCAGCAGUAGGGAAUCUUCCGCAAUGGGCGAAAGCCUGACGGAGCAACGCCGCGUGAGUGAUGAAGGUCUUCGGAUCGUAAAACUCUGUUAUUAGGGAAGAACAUAUGUGUAAGUAACUGUGCACAUCUUGACGGUACCUAAUCAGAAAGCCACGGCUAACUACGUG
rnacentral:rRNA from 1 species